AAAGGUAGCAUAAUCAUUAGUCUUUUAAUUGAGGACUGGUAUGAAAGGUUUGACGGGAGUUGGCUGUCUCAGACUUAAAGUUAUGAAUUUUAUUUUUAAGGAAAAGAGCUUAAAUGAUAUAAAGGGACGAGAAGACCCUAUUAAAUUUUAUUAUUAUUAAAUAAAAUUUUGUUUGGAUAAAAUUUUUAUUUUAAAAAUAAUUUUGCUGGGGCGGUAAAUAAUUAACUUUAUUGUUUCUUUUAAUAAUUUAAUUAGCCUUGUGAUGACCCACUAAGGGUGAUAUUAAAACUAAAUUACUAUAGGGAUAACAGCGUAUUGUUUUUUGAGAGUUCAUAUUGACAAAAAUGUUUGCAACCUCGAUGUUGAAUUAAGGAGUCUUAUUGGUGCAGUAUUUAAAAAAAAGGGUCUGUUCAACCCUUA
rnacentral:rRNA from 1 species